ensembl:lncRNA
GGUGGGGCUGUUUGGCGAGUGUGAUUUCCUGCACCGGGGGGAGCUGCUGGCAGGGCAACAUGCUCCAGGUUAGAACACACACACACACACUGAGCUGAGCUGGGUGAUGUCAGUUACAGCAGAGCCGGACUGCAGGACUAACAGACUGAGCUGAUUCUUCACCAUGAGAUUUUAAUUCUACAGGAAACAGAAUUUAAAGUAUCAGUCUGCAGGUCAGCAAGCUGAGGGUGAUGGGGAUAACAUGGUAGAGAGUGUGUAAAUAUAUGUGUGUGUGUGUGUGUGCGUGUGUGCGUGCAGAUAUAUGCUUUGGUACAGAAAAAUAUUUAUAAAAAGAUUUUAAUUAAUUUUUCUUUGUGCUGCUUUAAUUAAGGUUUGUGUUGUAAUGUUUAUGUUGAUGUGUGUUUGUGUGUUAUGUGACUUCACAGCAAUGAAGUCCCAUGAGGGAGAGCUGGUGAAAGAAAUCUCUAAGCUGCAGGCCAUGGUGCUGGAGCUCAGAGCUGGGUUUUCUCGGGCUUUGCUGGAACUGAAUCAGAUUCAGCUUGGAGACACGGAGCUGCAGACCCAGCUAGAGGAAACACGGCACGGCUGUAACAAGCGGGCACUGCACCUGGAAACUCUGGUGCUGUCUCUCAGGGAGGAAUUGGAAGAUGUUCGCUGUCAUAUUCGGCAGAUCUGUGAUGAUCAGGUUAAACCAGAGCAAGCGAACAACAGCACAGCACCACAGAACGACAGCACUCCUGGAUGUAGUGGGAUGAAGGAUGUUGGCAGCAAUGUUAAUGGCGUUGCUGAUAGUAAUACAGGUGCUGUAUCCCCACCCCUUCACUCUGCUGGUGGAGCCCUCCUGGUACACUGCUACCUGCAGGGUCUUUCGGCUGGACGUAGUUCAGGCAGAGACGCUCAGGUAAAAGCGGAGAGACUCCAGAGCUGCUCAUUGCAAGGAAGGAGGCAGCGUGUAGCCGUGUCACUGCUGCGGUCGGAGUGGGACUAUGUGUCUAGUCUGGGUCUGCUGUACGACAAAUACAAAGCUACACCUACAACCAGCAGCAACUUAGAUUUACAUAAAGCUUUUGCGAAGCACGUGGAUCAGAUGCUGCAGAGACACCUGCAGUUCAGGAACUGUUUGGAGGAGCGACUGACUCUGGAUCAGCGGAGCUGGGCUGUGGGAGAGGAUUUUCUCAAACUGACCGGACAGGAGAAUUCAGCAUUCUGUGACGCGUAUCUUGGCUACAUGACCGCUCUGGCAUCCAUCCUGACCGCAGAGUUCAGCCGAGAACAGCCGGACAAGCCGCAACACACGCAGGAGGAGGAGGAGAAGGAAAGCUUUCGACUACUGUCCCUGCUGUUAGCACCUGUGUCACGCUUACACGCCUACCUGAACACCAUACAGUUUCUGCGAAGCUGCUCUGGUAGCGGACACCCGGAUUGGGUUUUGCUGCAGGAGAGUGAACAGGUGCUGCGGAACCUCUGCACACGCUGUCACAUAAUCCUGGAGAGGGAGGGGCGAUGGGUCGAGGGGGUGGGGCCAGUUAACAGCCUCAGUGGAAGAUUCCUUGCCAGGAGCCCCAACUGUGGCCGCUCCGCCUUCACCAAGUACCGUGCCAGGCCAAGAGCGGGCACUGCUGACUGUGCCAGCUCCAGAUCAGACGCUACCGACUGCUACGCUCCCAUCAGUGUGCCCAGCAAUGGGCACCAGACAGAGAACUGCCACCUUGCUGUGCCACAGCCAUUCCUGCCCCCCACUGGCAUUCUGCGUAACUCUCGUGAACGUGUGUGUGAUCAGCUGCCCUCUAGCAGUUGGCCGGAGGGCUGCAGCUGGGACUGCAGAGCCGGGGAGUGCCCUCUCAUGCCCCUCUUUAUGCCCACCGUGCGUCAACCCCAGCAGCUGCUCCUGAACCCAUGUGCUCCUUCCAUGGUGGGGGACCUCCCAGGUACAGCCGCCCAGAGUCUGAAGUCCCCGUCUAGGCUGGUGGAGCGGUUGUGUGGGUCCCCGGGGCCGGACGGACGCGUGUGCCGCUCUGACCUUUACUCUCUGCCUCAGCGGAUUGAUGAGGGAGACACGGAUGCUGAUCUAGGUGAUGCUUCUGUGUUCGACUACUCGUCUGUGACUACCUGCAGCCCUGACGACACGCUGGAGCUGAGGGGAGAGAGCCGUGAGGAUGAGGAUGAUGAAGAAGACAGUGAGAUUCCUGUUCUCUUGAAGCCGUCUUGCUCUCACUCACACCCCUCUGGUUCCACGCCGAACUCUCAGAGGGAAGGCAGUGUGUGCAUGAGGUGGCAGAUCCCCCGAGCAGCCCCACUUCCUCCUGAGGUUCCUGUAGGAGGAUCGGGAACACUGAGCCGCACAAAAACUCUGCGCAGGGUUCCAACCGGUGCCUUCCGCCCCAUCUGGGACGCCCCUUACAGAGAGGGAGAUGCAGCUCCUGCUAAGGAGAGCACGGUGUCGUUCAGCACAACUAAUCAAAUUAUAAAUCCACAACGGCAAACAAAACCUUCCAGGUCAUUGUACAGAAGUGUGUGUAGCAGCAGUCCAGUUGGAGCUGCAGAUGGCAUCUGGAACGAGAGUGAGGACAGUGAAGGCCCCUGCAGCAACGUCUGAUCAGCUGAGGCACACACAGCUCCUGAUCCAAUCAAGAUCAGGAUAAGUUCCUACCUGCUACUAUCAACUGUUUCCAUCAUCUCAGUCAGCUUCAUCAGGACACUUACCUGCCUUAUAAUAAAACCAUCACCUCUUCAGGAACA